rnacentral:rRNA from 1 species
UGGUGGUGUGAAUUGUCUGGUUGAUUCCGUUAACGAACGAGACCUUUACUAGUAAAUAGUCACGGGAAGGUUUUGCGUUUAUGUGUAGACGGCCAUCUUUGGGAAGGAUCCGUUCCCCCAGAGAUGCCGAUCGUCUGCGCUGCAUUUCUUCCUGGAAGUACUUCUUACUGGGACUAUUUGUGAUAAGCAAAUGGAAGUUGGAGGCCAAAACA